rnacentral:lncRNA from 1 species
GGGCGUUAUCUUUGAUGAAGACCUCCUUGGUGCGAGCAUACUUCUUUGCUCGGACCAGCAUAUCAAGAUAAUCUCAAGGGUAUAUCUUUAUUAACGACUUCUUAAGGUCAUUUUUUAGAAGUCCACCCAUCAUUGUGGACAUGCGAUCAACUGAUUUAAGUCAUGUACCUUCAAGGUCGCCACAUUAAAGCGGCUAACAAAAGUUCAGAUCGACUCUCCCUCUUUUUGCUUAAUAGUAUGGAGAUAGUUGGAUCACUUCUAUUAUCAUCGGUUACUGAUGAAGUGACUGAUAAAAGACCUACUCAACUCUUUGAAGGAAUGGAUCGAAGC